rfam:Angiostrongylus costaricensis strain Costa Rica genome assembly, scaffold: ACOC_contig0002970
GGCCUCGUCGGCUCAGUUGGUAGAGCGAUAGACUUUUAAUCAAACGGUGAGGUGUUCGAGUCCCCGGCGGGGCUG